CAAUAAUCAGGAUUAACGAACUCCCUAUAUAAACCUGCAUAGAAUAAUUAAUAAUGUAAAGAAUUCAAAAAAAAGGGAGAAAACUGGGCAGAAAAGAAAAGGAUCGCCGUAUGGACUAAUUGCAGUUCUCGUUUCUCUGCUUUUGAUUUCUCCCCGAUUUUGAAAUUUCAGGGAAAUUAAUUGCCAAAUAGGUCCUCUGCUUCUUACAUUUUUUUAUCCUAUUGAUUUAGAUUUCUUAUAGGGUUAUGUAAAGGGAUAUUUUCUACAUAAUUCUUUCUACGUCCCGCCUUUUGCAGAAAAGGAUCGCCGCAUGGACUAAUUGCAGUUCUCGUCUCUCUGCUUUUUAAUUCUCCCCGAUUUUGAAAUUUCAGGCAAAUUAAUUGCCAAAUAGGUACUCUGUUUCUUACAUUUUUUCUUAACUGCUAUUAUAAAAAUCCAUUGUUGCUACCAUCCCACUAUCAAUUAUUGAAGAUAAAAAUCCUCAACUUAACCCAAGCUGAGAUGAACCAAAUUUAGGCUCAAUUCCACUUCCAAAACAAUCAACCAAGCUACCUUUACCAAAAUCCUCAACUUAAUGCCAACCCCAACACCAGCGCCAACACCAACCAUAUGCUCAGCUUUCUUAGUCCCAAGUCAGUCCAGAUGAAAGAGAUGGGUUCACCACCAAGCUCUAUAGGGGAGUUAGGCAACAUCACUGUGGAAAAUGGGUUGUUGAGGUCCGACUACCUAAGAACCGGACACGUCUUUGGUUAGGCACUUUCGAUAUAGCCGAGGAAGCCUUAUGAUAAAGCGGUCUAUAAACUUAUGGGUGAUUUUGCGAGACUCAACAUCCCUAACCUUUGUCACCAAGGUUCCCAUAUCGGUGGCGACUUCGGUGAAUACAAGCCUUUGCAUUCCUCUUUUAAUGCUAAGCUUCAAGCUAUUUGUGAAAGCUUGGAACUCAACCAAAAGCAAGGGAACAAGAAGAUUAAUGGCUUCACUUUGUUAGAUCUUACCUUCUCGAACUUUAAUGAGCAGCCAUGGUCUAAUUGUUACUUCACCUUACAAUCAUUUGUUGAAGUGUCAUGUAAACAAAAUAGUGCUACUUGGACUGGUGCCAUGUUAGUGUUAGUGGUUAAUGUUGACCGUUAGCCAAUUAAUGACUUCAUUAGCAUGUCCGUUUAAGUAUUAGGAUUAUUUUAGGUUUCCUCUUUAGGAUUGUAUAUUUUAUAGUAGGUUAGCUUAUUUUUGAAUUGCAUACUUUAAAUUUUUUAUAUUAAGUUUUAAAUUAGUUCAUUUUAA